AUGUCUAAUGUUUUUUCGCCUGGGGAAUUAAUCGGACUAUUGCGAGCGGAACGAGCAGGGCGAGCUUUGGACGAAUCGAUCUAUUAUCGGGUAAUCUUGUUGGGAAUAACAAGGGCUUCCCUGAAUAGCCAAAGUUUCAUAUCUGAAGCAAGUUUUCAAGAAACUGCUCGAGUUUUAGCAAAAGCUGCCCUACGAGGUCGCAUUGAUUGGUUGAAAGGCUUGAAAGAAAACGUAGUUCUAGGGGGGAUUAUACCUGUUGGUACCGGAUUCCAAAAAUUUGUGCAUCAUUCCCCACAAGACAAGAACCUUUAUUUCGAAAUAAAAAAAAUCUAUUCGCGUCGGAAAUGA
rnacentral:rRNA from 1 species